CUAAAAGAAUAAAAGCACACAUUUCAGAACCACUUUGAGAAUAAUUUAAAGUAUUUAAACAAAUUAAAUCACUUUUUUAGCUUUAUUAUGGUACUCUUGUUUUAGAUGUUUGUUUUUUUUAAAAACCCACAGAGGACAAAUAUUGAGUGUAGAAAAAGAAACUCGGAUCCUUCUGCAAGUCCAUUAAUCUUAAUUUGAAUAAAUAAAUAAAAACUUAAACUCCAGUGAUCACUUCUGUAAAAUAACCAGUUAAAUCUGAUAAGUCUCAUCCACAUUUACUUAUAAUUGUAUUAUUAUUAGUUUGUUUUCUUUUUCUUUUUUUAAUGCAGAGAACAACUUAUUUUGGUUUCCCGUCUUGUAUUUUAUUUUGAAACAGAUUUUUGCCUGUUCACAUUUUCCUGCUGUCUCCAUGAUGCACUCUGUUGUCUCUACAUUUUAGUUUCCUCAUCUUCCAUUUUUAUUUUGUUAAAAAAUAAAUAAAUAAAAAGACAGAAUGUUUGUUUUCAACUUUUAAAUUAGUUUUUAGGUGGAAUCAGCCAUUAAUGUUUUGCUUUAUUUAUAUUUAUAUAUAUUGUGCAUUUGGUUCCUUUUUAUCAUGAAAUGCAGGAAACAGGAACUUAAUUAACACAAUCACAAGGGAGGAAUAAAAAUACAAAGCACAGAUGACAAAUGAUGACUACCAAAAUAAAACACCAAAUAACAAAAGAACCAAACCACACACAGAGGUGAAAAACUCACAUGGAGACACGGCUGGAAUAGUAACCCAAAAUCAGAAUCAGAAUCAGAAUACUUUAUUCAUCCCGAGGGAAAUUAGGGGUUACAGCAGGCAGCACGCUAAUGGCGCAUGCGCACUCACAAAGGAACCUUCUGACCAACUUUACACAAACAUCACAUUGGGCAGACAUGUCAGAAGGUAGGCUGAUAGGAAAAAAACAACGAAAAUACACUACAUGAGGUAAGAGGAGGAGAAAAAAAAAAACUCCACUCAGACUGAGCUCCUAGUGGGAGAACAGUUUGAUAAAAGAAAAAACACCUCAGCACAAAAGCACAUGACUAUCAAUACACCAUAGAAACACGAGACAAGCAACAGGGGCGGGUAAAGGGUAAGAGAGAGCCGGCGUAGACAGCGCAUCCGGUCCUGCAGCAUCUGUGCUGGUCCAGUUGACUGCUAUCAUCCCCGGUAGGGCACAAGCAUCGAAGGCGUUGGAAAGGGAGGGGGAUGAGUGAGUGCUUAUCAGUGUAAGUGUGUGUGUGUGUGCGCGUGUCCAUAGUUUAGCUGAGACAGUGUCCUUCGGCCUAUCAGGCUAAGUAAACAGUCCUCCAGCCAAUCCAGGUGUCC
ensembl:lncRNA